rnacentral:sRNA from 1 species
GUUACACGGCAGCUACAUUAACUGGGCGAUAUAGUUAGUAUAUAUCUAGCUGUUCAAGCAAUAAGAGAACCGCUAAUCAACUCCGUAGCAAUACCCCCAAACUUAUAAUUGUUUGUAGAACAGGACAUAUGCUUGGUCAUGCAAGACCUUGUUCAGACUGACAGGUGUGACGUUAUCAUCGUCGAAGCGAAGCCACUGCCCACUGGCAGACUUUGCAUCGGCAGUGUAAUGGCCCCUGGACGGGUUUGCCCCAAGAUGCGUGAUGGUUGCAACAAGCUCAUAUCUUCUACUCUGCAUGUGCUGAAAUCAACAGAUCACGACUAAGAACCAGCUCAAGAGGGAAGUGAAUUGGCUUGAAGAGUUUCGUGCAGCCAUGACUUCCAUAACUAAACCUCUUCAGGUGCAGUAUCAUUAUCUUUGAAAGUGAGUGUAUCUUCACUGAUUUUCUAGCCGUCACCAACCCAGCCUGCAAGAUCAAACAGCUGUUCUGUAUCCUUCCAAAGAUUCAGGAGCAGCAAACAGACGAAGGGCAUCAUCAAGUUUCUGAACAGCAUCGGGGAAUAUGUCAAGAUGGAUCAGUCGAAAAGGCUGAACGGUGACUGAUGCUUUGUUACCUGCAGAUAAAAGAAUAAUCCAUCACUGGCCUCCAAAAAUAGCAGUUAACUCGGAGGGAACAAAACUCUGACUCCUCAUUAUGGCUGACUUGUUCUUCUUUCCAACAGUCUCCCAAGCAUCAUCAUCAUUUGAUGAAACAAUCAUACCCUCCUUUGAAUUUGAGCCAUUGCCAUUAAGCUUCACUAGUUCAUCAUGCAUUCUAUCCAUCGCAAAACUUAAGAAUUCUUGAGCAUCUUCCUGCCUGCAUAAAAGCUGUUCCAGCUGGCACAUCUGGAGUAAAAUUUCUCAGAACUGUGUCAAACAUGGAGGGAAUAACUGAUUUUGAAGCUAUUGUAGCAAACUUCUCGUCUUUCUUAACAUUUGAAUCAUCGAGCACGUCGAAUUGAGAGAUGAACUCAAUAAAUGCAUUCAGUGUUGGCACCUUAGGUAUAUUCUGGUUCCUCAAGUUCUGUAAAAGCUGGACAAAAGGCCAGCAUGAGAGCAAUGCCUGCAAGGAUGAAUUCAGGAAGCAUAUAUUUCCUGUAUUCUUCAAACCAUGAGGAAGCAAGGGCUUGUUCCGAAAGUCCUUUUUAUUUAAGCUUGUCACAAGCUCAUCCACUGGAGCUGCAGUAGUUGGUGUAUCAAUAGCUGGCCCUCCAUUUUCAGUUAUUUCUGGGACUAAACUGCUGUUUUGAUUGCGUUCGAUCCCAUCAUGGUCCACCUCUGGAACUGAAAGUGGUGCUGGGCUGCUGACAUUUUUAGCAGGAACACUCGUGAGAACUGCAGCUACAGCCUUCUGAUUAUUCUCAAUGACGCCAUUGUUGGGAGACACAUUGGCAUUGGCAGUGGGAGAUCCAUUGAAUAGCACUGGCUUGCCAUUUGGUAAUGUAGGAGCUACUGUUUCCUUUUUGUUGCUGCAUGCAAUAUCCUUUGUAAUGAUGAUUUUGUUCUGGCCGUCACUUAAUUUUGCAGGAUAGACAGCACCUUGAGUAAUAGAAUUUGAUUCUUUCGAUAAAUUUAGAGCUGAGAAAUUCAGUGACCCAAACUGGAUCUCAGAGAGUUCCCGUGUUUU